AGUUAUCCUGCCUGAAAGACAAACCCACCCAGGAGGAUGAGCUCAGCCGGUGGCUGCGGCCCCUCUCCAGGGCUUCUCAGGAAAGGGUGAACACUUGCCCCAUGAGCACCUGGCCUGAGUCCACAAAGAGCCAGCAGAUGGUAACUACUUCUGGUGCCCACCGGCCUGUACUGGUGUCCCAAUGGCAGCCUUUCCUCACAGCCGACUCCAUGAGCCCUACUGCCCCGCUGCUCGCCCCUCCCGUUCUGUAAGGCUUUAAAUCGUGUGUGAGCAGUGGGAGCAGCCAGCCCCCCGUGGUGAACAGCAAACACCUGAGAGUCCCGGCCAUUAUCAUCACACCUC